GGUGGGUCGGUUUCCCCACUCCCGAGGAAAGCUCCUCGGUUCUCGCACUGGUGGGUGACCCGGCCGAGCUUGUGUGGUCAUCUCAACACCAGCCCUACUCCACCGCCACUCAACAACUACCAAAAAAUGAAAAAACUUUACAUUUCUAACGUGGGAUAAUUCGACCUCGGUUUGGCUCUCAGUGGUCUCUUUUCGGCCACCCCGCGGCUCCCUAACUUGUUUGAGAUUC
rnacentral:lncRNA from 1 species